rnacentral:lncRNA from 1 species
GGCAGAACAGCCCUGCAUUGGGGCAUCAUCCUAAAAGUUUUGAGAAGGGAAAUGGCAUCUGAUGGACAGGUAUGUGACUAUCAAAUUAAUCCUCAAGCAAGGAAAAUACUUUGUCAUUUGGCAGAAGUUUCAGAAUGUUGAUGAAGACAGAAACACCACACACAAGCAAUCCUGGGUAAAAUUUAACCUGAGUUAUGCUGUCAUUGGCUUUUGGUCAGUGAGUUAAUGUCACCUCCUGUCUAGUAUUCAGUAACACUUCAUGGACUAAUAGUAAACUGACAAGUAAUUAAAACACUUUUCUAAUAAUUAAGUGUGAAUGUCCCAUGGGAGAGAUAUUUUAUGGAUGGCUGGAUACAAAAGCCAGGAGAUCUCUUUUUCUAAACAACAAGUCAAUAUUUUUACUUCCUACAAAAGCUAUUCCUUCCUGGUCAUUUCCAUGGAAUUAUGCUCUGAAGAUUUCAUAUAGUGGACUCUUAUUCAAAAAUUUCCCUACCAAGUAGUUCACUAAAUCAAGGACUUUGAUUACCCAAGAAAAUAAGGAAGAGAGCAUACAAAUUCUUUUCUUACAUGCAGCAGGAUUGAGCCUGUUGCUUCAUGGCUGUGGAUACUCACCAAGUGUGGACACUCCCUUCUGUGCUUUAUACCUUCACAGACAGGAGGAAUAAAGCUAGACUGUUUCCCAACUGACUAAUGUAGAUAGCAACCACUCCAAAUAUGGAAGAGAUUCACUAUGCCAACCCACUUCCUGGUAUUACCAAGCAUUGAAACUUGCACUUGACCUUCGUGAAACUUUUAAGGGAUUGUGUAUCUAGACUUGCCUUCCCAUCCUCACCUUCUUCUAGGCACUGGGCAAAAACUCAUACUAACCCACAUUUUAUCACCACCAUUGUAAUGGGGCUCCACUGCAUGUUGAACACCUCCUUUGUGGUAAGUGCAAAGACUAUUAUACUCAUCAUAUAGGGUACAAAGUGACCCAUUGUGAAAAUUAGGUCAUACGUGCUAUAUCUAUGUUGUAAAUAUUAUUGUUUUUAGACAAGAAUAAUUAUUUUCUUCCUGGCAUAUGUAAGUCUUUCAGAAAGCUUUGAUCAGUCAUUGUUGGGUUUCUCUCAAGAUUGUCUGAGCUUCCAACAGUUUCACAUCUUCAACUAUUUCCUAGUACCAUCAUGCCCAGAGACUUUCCUCUUUACACCACAGAAUUCUCUUUUCCCUGCUCCCUACCCCUGACACCUUCAGCCUCCAUGCCCCAUCAUAUAAUAGCAUGAAGCCAGUAAUAUCAUGUAGGCCCAUACUUCCAGACUCGUGCUCCAUAUAGUCUUUGUGAGGAAUUCCCUUCUUUUUACUCUGUUUUCUCAUGAAAAACUGACUCCUAAACUUUCUUAGCAUCAUGAAAGUGUAGGCUUCAUUCAGAGGUAGGGGAAGGUUGUGAACCUUAUUCAGGCUACUAAAACUUGAGCUGUGUGUGUGUGUGUGUGUGUGUGUGUCUCAAAGGGAAUAAAACCAUGGUUCUCUACCACUAAGCUACUAAGUUGCUAAGUUUCUACUAAGCUGCUACUAAGUCUCACUAAGUUGCUAAGGCUAGCCUUGAACUUGUGAUUCUCCUGUCUCAGCCUCCCCAGUCUCUGGGAUUAUAGGCAUACACAAUUGCUCCCAGCCAGGCUAGUAAUAAUUGUCAUCUUAUGAUAUUUAUUUGGGAUCUUAUGUGUUGCAUUUUUAUUGUUGAUUACUUUGUUUGGUUUAUGGUUAAAGUUACUUUAUAACAAUUAUGAGUUUGUAGGUUUUCUCAAAAUAUUUGCUUUUUAAAAAAUAUCCUACCUUAAAUCUUUAGGCGCCACAUCAUGUCAUAAGUACACAAGAAUUUUGUAUUUGUCUUAUCUUAUAUAAAUGCUUUCUCACUGGGUGAGCCUUUAGGUUGUUUGGGUUUAGAAAGAAAGACUGUGAUUUUCUCUCCUUUGGGAAUGUCUCUUCUUCUCACUCUGCUUGCUCUGCUUGGGUCCUGUGUGCUAACCGCACACUUAGGGGACAAAUGCAAAUCAGUACUUUAAGGGCUAUAGAUUUCAUAUGGAGAACUCCACAUAUGUUUCCCAUUUUUCUCUCUUUUCUGCCACAUAUUUGUGCUGAAUUGUUUUAUUGGUAAUGGGGGAGAUGCCAGAAUAUUUACAGGAUCAUGGUCAUGGGAGUAUGCUGCUAUUUGGACUAUGUCUGGAUAAUGCCAGUGUAAUCAAUCAAAAUGGAAACAUUUGUUCAAAUAAGCACUUUCUAGGUGAUCAGCAUAAUGCUUAUAGUUUUGAGUAUUUAACCAAACUUAGUCACUUUGAUGUGAUUCAGAAAAAACUUAGCAGAGUCCUUUGUGAACACUUCUCUUCUUAAAAAUGAAGAAAUGUAAUUACAUGAAAUUCGAACUCCUCUUUUGAAAAUAAGGAACUCUGCCACUCAGAGUCCAAAAGGGACAUGGACACUAUGCUGAACCAUGUUGUGGCUGGUCUUCCUCCGAUAUAAAUUGAUUUCAAUUUAAUCUUAUUUAUUUGGGGGCACAUUUGGGAAUAAAAUGAAAACUGGGAACUCUCCCAGUGGAUAAAUAGACACACGGAAUUCACAAAGCACUUCAGGAAGUUUCCAGACUCCUUAAAAAUGAUUUUUGUACUUUAUAGAGGUUUAUUAAGAAUUCUAAGGACCAAUGGCCUUUAAGGUCUUGCUCAGCUUAAAAUGUUGAUUUUGUGAAUUUUUCUUUUGUAGUUUUGAUGGACGCAUACAUAUCCAACUGUUCCUCCCAAACAAACUCCUCUGGUGCAUCUUACAUGGGAGUUGUGGAUGUAUCAAAGCCUUAUGCUUUAUUGCCAGCCUAGUGAAGUUUCUGCAUUUAUUGGCUUCUAUCAGUGAGGGAGACUCUUAAAAGAAUUGAGAUAUAUGACAAUCAAGACCUGGUUCUUUCUCACCGCCAUUCAGGAGUGACUGACAAGCACCACCUUCUGGAGAAAAUGUGAAGUUAGUGUCAAAGUUGAUGAUCUCUGACACUGCUGUGCUUUUCACAGGUACCCAGAGUUGAAGCUCCCUCUGAUUCCAGCACCAGUCUAACCCCAUGUUCCUGAAGCAGUUUCUUUACCUUUAUUCUAACCAGAGUGAUCUACCUUUUGCCUCAAUGAAGAUACAAAGCAGUGUAAGUUGGAAAAUCAAUUUAUGUUAAUCAAAAAUUUCUACUUUUCACUGAAAUUUCAUGGUAGCAAAACUCAUAUCAUUUGAAAGUACUGGGAGGUAGUUUGUAUUAAAAGUUAUGUGUCUAGUUGGGUGUGAUGGUGCACACCUGUAUUCCCAGCUACUGGGGAGGCUGAGGCAGGAGGAUCGUUUAGGCUCAGAAGUUCAAGACCAGCAUGGGCAACAUGGGUGACCCAACUCAAAGCAAUUAAUCAAUUAAAUAAAAACUGUCUAUCGAGUGACUUAAAUAUGAUUUGUCAUUAGAAUGUUGGUGAAGUAUUUUAAUUAUUUAAAAGAGAUAGGGAAUCUAUUAAGAAAAUAACAAGUGAUCUUGGAAGUAAUAAGGAUUAAUAAGAAUAAUGCUCUGUUGUACACUCAUACAUAAUUAAGCAGCAAAAGAGUAGUUUAAAUGAUUUAUUUUAUUUAAUUAAUUUAUUUUUUAAUAUUUGUUUUUUAGUUGGGCACAAUAUCAUCUUUAUUUUUUAUUUAUUUUUAUGUGGUGCUGAGGAUCAAACACAGGGCCUUGCAUGUGCUAGGUGAGCGCUCUACCGCUGAGCCACAACCCAAGCCCUAAAUGAUUUAUUUUAAACAUACAAAAUAUAUGCACGUAUACUUGCAUUAUGAUAAUUAGUUAAAUUAGCUUUAUUCGUGGAUCUGGUAACUUUCCAUACAUGCUUUGUAUUUAAUUGUAAACUCCUAAUUUUUUAAACACGUAAUUGUCAGAACAUUAAACUAUUUGUGAUUGUAUUCUUUAUGACUCAAAAAAUCUUAGAUUUUUUUUUGUUAUGAUUUUUAUAGAAACUCUUUUUUCUCUCCGAUUUUUUCUUGUGUUCCACUGGUAUCAAACCAAUGCUGAUUUGAAGCUAUUUGCCCUGCAGGGAUUACUAAGAGUGUCAAGUUCUAUAAAUGUUUGCUUCAUUGCCAAAAUUAAAGAUCCCCCCAACCAAUCUACAUCUUUUUUGUUUUAUUUUGUUUUUAAUCAAAGAGGCAAGAAUGACUUUGUGUCUUGAGAAAUGAUUCCUUUCUUCACAAUAAAGCAAAUAUACAACACAGCUUAGAAAAUGUUUGAGGAUUGAGUCAGAUAAUGGAAAAUUCCUUUAGACCCAUCAUAUCCUAGAGCCGGGUUGGUCUCCUAGGGAGAUAAAUUGAGUACAAUGAGGUUUGCUGCGGGGGAGUUGCAGAAAUGGACCUUUGGAAAUAGACUUUAAACCUAUUAAUAUAUUUCUCCUGGCAUUUUUAAUAAAAAGUAGGCAUUGAUUGUUUACUCCCAGACAAAAUUUCUAUAACCUACCUAAAAUCCCUGCCUGCCAAGUGCUUUGUGCCUCUCAAGGGACUAUUAGUCAUUCUGUAGAGUUAUAUUUAUUUUCUUAAACUUACUUUCCAGAUGGACAAUAUGUAUCAUUUCAUUAAAGCCAAAUGUGGUUUAUGAAAUUUGAGAAUCAUAAUUAAUCAUGCCAGGGAGAGCACCUGAGUGAGGCAGACAGAGAACAUUCUCAGGAAAAUAAAUCAUAAGCUUAAAGCAGCUCCCCUAUUUGUGGUACUUACUACUUUCCAGGUACUGUUUAUAUAUGGAUGCAUCUUAACUACAAUCUUGCACAAUGAAUAUUAUUCCCAUAUUGCAAAUGGAGAGAUGAAGCCCUGGGAGAUAGCAGAUAGUGGGAGCUGGGAGUUGAAGUUAAGUCUGCCUGAUCCUGAGUCCCUGUGCCUUCCACCCUGCAAUUCUGCCUCUGGAAGUGGACAAACUGGGAAGCCAACUCCAUUAUACAGGUUCUCUGGAACUGGUCAUUGAAACUGAAGAAUUAUUAAAAUUUUACACAGUCCACUCAUGAAUAAUAUUUUAUCUUUAAAUACAAACCUUAUUGGUAGCUGACAGAUGACUUUUGCUCAGAAUUACUUGUCAACCACCUCAGAUGUUUUCUUCAGCUGAAUAAUCAUUACCACAAAUACACAUGACAAUAUAGCCUAUCAUCCUUUAAAAGCACAUUUAGAAACACAUUUUUUAAAAGUAUGGCAACGACAAGAAAAGAAUCCUAAAUACAGCUGAGCUGCCAGUCUCAUGUAUAGACAAUGAAAACCACAAGGUGGAGGCUGAUAAAUAAAUCCAAGACAGAGCACUGAUUCUAGACAAUCAUCACAAUGAUAGAAAUACUUCCAAAUAUUUUCAUAGAAUAGAAAAAAAAUUAAAUAUGUUGGGGAUGUAAAUUUCAGCAAAAGGAAAUCUCCGCCAUGCUCUUAUCAUCAGUGCCCCUGGGAGAAGUGUCGAUAAUUAUCUCAGCAAAUUUUGGAGGUUAUAUCAUUUUAAACUAGGGAUUGGGCCCAAGAGGAGGAAAUGAGCAGCAUACCAACAUCGGGGCCAGCCAGGGUGCCCCUGAGAAGCAGAUGUAAACACAGACAGUUGUUCAAAUUUGUCAGCAGAAUCUCUCAACCCUUCAGCCAGUAGUUAGAGUGUAGAAAAUAACCAGAAAUCCUUUUCUAUAAACAAAGGGAAUUGCAAAAGGUAUGGGGAACUAACAUCCAGGUUUUGAAACUGCUGAGAAAGGAGGGGAUGUUCUAUGCUGAAUUCUCACAGAACAAAGACACGUGACAGACUUGCAGCACCCCAAGUGCUACAGUUUGGCCAGGUGCAAUGCUCCCUUUUGAGAUGGGAUUUGGGGCCAGGACCAAACAGACUGAAGGGAUGGCCUGUGUAAUUAAUGGGAGUCGAUGGUAGAAUUGUUCACGCAGUUCAUCACACACAAUGAAGAAAUUUACUAAAAUGCCCUAGAAACAACCUGUAAAGUCUUAGUGUGUCUGUUUUCAAGUUAUAGAACAUCACAAGCUAGAAAAAAAAAAUGCAAAUUUUUCAGUGCUGGGGAUUGAACUCAGGGCCUUGAAUAUGCUAAGCAAGCACUCUACCACUUUUAGCCCCAAAUGCAUUUUUAUUGGACUGUAUCAUGUUGUAAUAGUGUGGGUUUGAGUUUCAAAAUUCACGGCUCAAAGGCUCCCUUUUAUCCUCUUAGGUAUUUUGCUUUGGUUCUAUUACAUGUUUGAAAUUGCCAGGAUUCCAGCAGAGCCCUGGUUAACUGAGAAAAAGAUUAACAAGCCUUUUUACUCAUCAUUUACAACUCCAAAGAAGGAUUCUUUAAUAAAGUUAAACACCGGCAUUAAAGAGCACUUUAAAAAUGUGUUAUAAAAAUAUAACCUUAAUAAAACCAGGACUCUCUGUGACCUAUUUCAGCAUGUGUUAGACACAAAAGAAACACCCACCUGACAUCCAGAGGUAUUGCAAAUCCAUUUAAAACAGCAAAGUCAAUGGAGAUGCAGCAGUAAGGUCUGCCAUUCACAACACAUAGCAAAACUUCCUCAAAACUCUCUUCCUCCAUCUAUAGAGUUCACAUAGCAGAAGCACUACUCUAAAGAGUUGCCUCCACACACAUUCAAACUAUUUCCCCUAGGUGAGCCCAUGGGGGCUCCUUUCACUUCAAUUUCUCUCUCUCUUUUUCAUCCUACCUCAGGACCAAAAAUAGUAAUCAAUCUUUAUAGCAAAAUGAUAUGUGCCAUCUCAUGGAAAUUAGUCUAGCCUUUUUAGCAAUGUCCUUCAUUCCAGAUUAGGAUAGCAAAAGCCAAAGAGUCAAGAGGACCUCUUUCUUCAGUGGCAGGAUGAAUGUGCAUUUACUAGUGAUUUUUUUUCCUUUGUCAUAUAAAGAAGACUUAAAAGAAUCAAAUUCUUAAAUAGGUCUUGAUACUCUUUUUUCCUAUAAUCCUUAAAUUACCAAUUAUUACUUCAUAUAUAUAUAUAUAUUUAUUUAUUUUUUUUCUCAUUCUUGUUCACACUGAAUCUUUGAGUCAAGCCUUUAGAAAGACAGCUCCAUGAACAACACAGACUUGAUCUGUGGUUUUUCUAAUGAUGUAAAAUUACCAUGUGCACUUCCCAAAAGCUCUUUCCCAUGUGGAUGUGGGAACUCUAAAUACAUUAGGAGAUAACAGUCGACCUCUAGUCAGAGCUCAGAUUAUCUUGUAUCCAUUCAAUGCUCAUUCAUUUGGAGAAGAUGGGUCAUGGAAUCAGGAACUCCUGAAGGGGUGGCCUGAGGGAAAUGGUGAGUGUGCCGGUCCCAGACUGGCUUGUCUGACAUUCUUUUGGCCUCCCCCUGUGCUCUGCAUCCUAGUCCUAGGGAGGCUCACUCCAAGGACUGGAUUUCCCAGACUUUCUUGCCUAUGGGUAAAUGUCAGUGAGUCACUUGUUCAAGGAUGGUUUCUAGAAGGAAGAGAGGAACCAGAGUCUGCUCCCUACGACUGCUUAUUUCAUUCAGGCAACCAGCUAUUUGGUGUCCAAACUUGACCAGAACUAGCAAGAAGCCAUUUGUUAUCUUAUGUAUUCCACUUUGGGUGAAUAUCCACAUUUUGCUGGAUUUUAUUUAAAAAUGCUGCCUCUAAAAUUACUGGAGAAUGUGACAAUGCUAGGACACCCAUUGGAUACAUAUUGCCUUUCUAAAAUCUGAAAAUAUUCGGGUUUUAUCUGUACCCAAAGAAUUUCAGAUAAGGGAUGGAAGACAUGUAAUUUACAAACCUUUCAUGAUCUUUAAUUCACAAAAUUUAGACAUUAAAUUUCACUUUUUCUGUUUUCUUGAAUUUUCAGAGUGAAAAAUUCAGAAGCUCCUCCCACACUUAGAGCAGAUGCCAAACUACCUGUGUAGAACAUACUUGGAGUUUGUAAUACUUAUUCUGUGAGGGGUUAGCCCAUCAUCCAUUUCCAGCCUAUAGAAGAAAAUAGUUAGGAAUUAAUUUUGGGACUAAAAAGGGAUGUCAAAAGAUUUCUUUAAAGGGAGAUAUUUGAACCAUGUUGGUUUUAUUACCAUAACUCUGGAGUAUAAUUUGAGGUCCAGUAUUGAGAUGCCUUUUGCUUCACUUUUCUUUUUAAAAACUACUGUGGCUGUUCUGGGUCUCUUUAUUUUUCCAAAUGAAUUUCAGAACUGCUUUUCCUAGUUCUUUGAAAAUGUCAUUGAAAUUUUGAUGGGGACUGCAUUGAAUUUGAAUAGUGCUUUUGGAAGUAUGGCCAUUUCAACAAUAUUAAUUUUGCCUGUCCAAGAAUGUGGGAGGUCAUUCCAUCUUCUAAGGUCUUUCAUUUAUUAUCUUUUUAGUGCUCUAUAGUUUUUUAUUGUAGAGUUCCUUCAUCUCUUCUGUUAGAUUGAUUCCCAAAUUUUUAUUUUUUUAAGGCUAUUGAGAAUGGGAUAGUUUUCCUAAUUUCUUUUUCAACAGAUUCAUCAUUGGAGUACAGGAAUGCAAUAAAAAUGACAAUUCUGAGUACACAUUCUACCAAUGUGGCAGUAAGAAUUAAUCAAUAAAUUUUAAAUAAAGAAUCUAGGGAUCUUUAGCAGUAGCCACAAACCAAAGAAUCCUCAAAAUUCAAUCUUUUCUGUUUUUUUUUUUUUUUCUGAUUUCUGUUCAACUGCUCAUUCUAGGGCAGAAGAACACUGGGAAAUCCUACUUUCUGCCUCUGAUUUCUGCAUUCCUUUAAAAAAAUAUAUUGUGGUGCUUUUUCUCAGUAUAUAAAAAAAGGGAGAUAUUUUAGGUUGUUGGAUAUCCAUUCCUCCCUAUUCAUGGAGGAUAUGAAGGGUAUUUAUCCCUAUCUAAGGGAAGAAGUUUCCAGUAGGAACUCUGAGAACCUGGCCUAUAAAUAACAAGAAGAUGCAAAGACUUGAAUCCAACUCAUCCCCAAAGAGUGUUAAUAUAUACGGUUACACCUGGAGUUUCUUUGGAUUGGUGGCAAGGGCAGAAACAGGUCUAAGUUGGGACAUCAAUUUAGAAAAGAGAAAAAAAAAACACUGUUCUUUAUGAUUUAUAUGUCAACCCCUGGAAGGAGUGUCCUUGAGAGGGACCUUGCAUCAGUCAGGAGAUCUAAGGAGAUCUAAGCACUUGAGGGCUGCCAGCAGGUGGAAGGAUGAGUUCUAAGAAUAUCCAGUUGAGACUCCCCCAUGGGUAUGAGUGCAUUGAGAGGUCUGAAAUGGCAGAUUACAACUUUUCCAGUUAUGUAAAACAUUUUCAGAAUUCCAUAUUUAAACUGGUCUUAGAAAAUAUAAGAUAAACGUUUGGGGAUAUGGUAAUGUUAUCAAAAGAGAGGACUGGAUUCAUCUAUCUUUUGCACUUCAUUUUUCCUAUCUUGAAGGAGAUUUAAACAAGGGAGAAAUUUUAAAUUGAAUGAGUGUUUAGUUUUGAAUGAGUGGUAUUGCUCUGGAACAGGAAUUUCAACACAGAGGGGAGGAAGCCACCACUUGACUUAAGGCAGGUGUGUGAUAAGCGAUAAGAAAUAGCUCAUGGGCUCCUUCUGCAGGGUGUGUCUGAAGACUGGCUGCAGUUCUGUGCUGAGCAGAAUCCUGAGUGUGGACUAGGCAGAGUGGGAAGAUGGCUACAUGGACUAGGGACCUGUGAGUGGAUGCCCAUGUGCCAUAUCCCUGACAUCUGUGGGUGAGGAAAACAGUGAAAACAGACCUUGCUCCACAAAGUGAGAGUCCUGACAGUGAGUUUGAGAUAGAGCAAAACACAGUGUAGGCACUCAGUCAACUUUUGUUGAAUGAGAAUAAGGUGAGUAGCAUAACUUAUCUAUAUAAUUUGCUGUAGGGACAGAUGAGAUAGGGCACCAAAGAUAGCAGGAAACAGUUUUAGUUGGCUGCAGCUGUAAUGCCAGAUUCGUGGGACCACAAUAGACCUCCAGGAGCUGAAUCCAAUGCAAUCACACAAGAGCCUUUAUUGCAAGCUCAAGCCUGGACUCACAACCUUUGCUGACGUAGCAGUCCCAGGGAGUGAGUCCCGGUCCUUUGUUCAGUGAGAUUUUAUAGGUUUUGGGGGGAUACUCUAUGCAUCACAACAUCACACAGCAAAUCAUUUCACAUCUCGGGAAAGUCAAACAACAACUCUUAACAUUGAUUAACACAUUCACUGGCCAGAACAAGUUGGGUAGGGGUGAUUGGUUAGUACAAGAGGAGGAUUCCUUUGAACUGAUUGGUUUAAGCCACGAGGGGUGUACGUGAUAAACUACAUGGUUUCCCAACAUGUUAUCAACCACCAUAAACUACUGGGGGGGGGGGGGUCAUCUAGCAUCCCAAGUAUUUUCCCUGUCUCAUGCUGAUUGGUGGUGGCUAGGGGGUUGUUAUGGUUCCUCACCUAGCCUAAUUGAGUCAGGGACACCUGGCACCCCAGAUCUCUGUUGUUAUUUAUAGACAAACAACUCAGCAGGGUGUGUGUGUGCUUAGGAGUGCUCUGUGGGUUUUUCCAAGGACAAGGGUCACACCCCCUUCCUUGGACAGGCUUUGCUCUGAGGUAGAGGCUGGUUUCUCAAAAAUGAAGUCACAUCAGUUUCUCAAAGCCAGUUUUAGAGGGUACAGCUUUCACUGUAAUAAAUUAAUCCCCUGAACCCUGAGUUCAGGGAGUUUCAGAACUUAAUACCCAGCAUGUAAGGAGGGACUCAGAAGUUCACAGUCUGCAGAAAGCAGCUUUUUCUUUCACUGUUUUGGGCAAGCUAACCCUUCAAGGGCAACAUCUGAUAAGGGGAGAGCUUCUUAUACCCUUUCUUUCCCCCUCCCUUGCCAGCUGUUACCAUGGAGCCCAACUGGUAAAUUAUCUUAGAAAUAUAGACAUCUCUGUGAAGCUCCAGCUCAAGGCUAGAGGCCUUAUUAAAGGAUGUCUUUUUUUUUUUAUUAACCACAUUUUGCAUUUGCAAACAUACUUUUUUUUUUUAAAUUUUUUAUUGUUGGCUGUUCAAAACAUUACAUAGUUCUUGAUAUAUCAUAUUUCACACUUUGAUUCAAGUGGGUUAUGAGCUCCCAUUUUUACCCCAUAUACAGAUUGCAGAAUCACAUCAGUUACACAUCCAUUGAUUUAUAUAUUGCCAUACUAGUGUCUGUUGUGUUCUGCUGCCUUUCCUAUCCUCUACUAUCCCCCCUCCCCUCCCCUCCCCUCCCCUCUUCUCUCUCUGCCCCCUCUACUGACAUUCAUUUGUCCCCUUGUAUUAUUUUUCCCUUUCCCCUCACUUCCUCUUGUAUGUACUUUUGUAUAACUCUGAGGGUCUCCUUCCAUUUCCAUGCAAUUUCCCUUCUCUCUCCCUUUCCCUCCCACCUCUCAUCCCUGUUUAAUGUUAAUCUUCUUCUCAUGCUCUUCGACCCUACUCUGUUCUUAGUUACUCUCCUUAUAUCAAAGAAGACAUUUGGCAUUUGUUUUUUAGGGAUUGGCUAGUUUUCAGUUUUUGAACNNNNNNNNNNNNNNNNNNNNNNNNNNNNNNNNNNNNNNNNNNNNNNNNNNNNNNNNNNNNNNNNNNNNNNNNNNNNNNNNNNNNNNNNNNNNNNNNNNNNNNNNNNNNNNNNNNNNNNNNNNNNNNNNNNNNNNNNNNNNNNNNNNNNNNNNNNNNNNNNNNNNNNNNNNNNNNNNNNNNNNNNNNNNNNNNNNNNNNNNNNNNNNNNNNNNNNNNNNNNNNNNNNNNNNNNNNNNNNNNNNNNNNNNNNNNNNNNNNNNNNNNNNNNNNNNNNNNNNNNNNNNNNNNNNNNNNNNNNNNNNNNNNNNNNNNNNNNNNNNNNNNNNNNNNNNNNNNNNNNNNNNNNNNNNNNNNNNNNNNNNNNNNNNNNNNNNNNNNNNNNNNNNNNNNNNNNNNNNNNNNNNNNNNNNNNNNNNNNNNNNNNNNNNNNNNNNNNNNNNNNNNNNNNNNNNNNNNNNNNNNNNNNNNNNNNNNNNNNNNNNNNNNNNNNNNNNNNNNNNNNNNNNNNNNNNNNNNNNNNNNNNNNNNNNNNNNNNNNNNNNNNNNNNNNNNNNNNNNNNNNNNNNNNNNNNNNNNNNNNNNNNNNNNNNNNNNNNNNNNNNNNNNNNNNNNNNNNNNNNNNNNNNNNNNNNNNNNNNNNNNNNNNNNNNNNNNNNNNNNNNNNNNNNNNNNNNNNNNNNNNNNNNNNNNNNNNNNNNNNNNNNNNNNNNNNNNNNNNNNNNNNNNNNNNNNNNNNNNCCUGGAGGGACAAUUUCACUCCCUCUAAUACAACUUAUUCUUAGUCAUCAGAUUUUUCUUCCUGAAGUAUUGCAUUGUCUAUAUUCUUUAUUGAUUAAAAAGUAUCUAGUGGUUCUUAUUCCUUACUGAAUAGAGUCCGAAUUCCUUGGUGAGGUAUACAAAAUCUCUACAAUACUGGCUCAAGCUGCUUUUCUAGUCUGAGCUUCUACCUUUCUACCCAUCCUCCCUAGAUUUAUCCAUGACACCUGCUGAGUGUUCCUUAGACUCCUUCUUUCUCCUCUUGGCUCAAAAUAUUCCAGCUACUAAAAGUUAUGCACUUCCUUCUGCCUGUCAUUUGAGGCCCAUUUUCAAUGCUGUCUCCUUUAUGAGGUUUUUCAUGGUCAAACACCUGGCAACCACAAAUCAGAUGUUAGCUCUUCCUUAGUAGGUUUCAUUUAAAAAUACAAUAUGUCAUAUAUUAGUUUGUAUUUUAAUAGCAAAAUGAUCAAGCCACAUACUAAACAUAUGCUUCUUGAGAACCUAAGCCAUGUUUUAUUUUUCUUUAUAUGGUUUAUUUUGCUUAGUGCAAUAGGGCUUAUAUAAAAGGAAAUGACUCAAUAAUUUAAGAAGAAAUCAGUAUUUGGAAUAAUGAAAAUGUUUUGAAUUUAGGCAGAGGUGGUAAGUGUGCAAUAUUGUGAAUGUAUGAAAUGACAUUUUAUUUUUCUCUUUUCAUUUUAUGUUAUUUGAAUUUCACCUUCAUAAGAAGAAUGAAAUAAUUAUUAAACAAAUUCUUAUAUCUUUCUAACAUUUAUCUGGCUAAAUGGAAUAACUUUCUCUCAGACAUUUUACAUUUUACCAAUAUGAGCAACAUAAAUAUAAAAUUGUGUUUCUGAAUCCAUAACAUGAAUACGUUCCACACUAACUUCUUCCAGUUUUUUAUUUCUUGAUCAUAUUACUUUUGCAUAGUGGUGGUUCCUGUUGGACCCUUACCCUUUGAUAGAGGUAACUGGAUGGCUUUAUUUUCUAUAUCCCUCAAGGAUGAUUUAAGCUCCAUUGGCCUCUGAUCAGACUAUAUGAAGGAGAAGUUCAUCUAACAUAAAUACGAGAGAGAAAAGAGGUCAGAGGAUAUCCACAUCUCUCCUUAGUCUAAAAGUUCAUGGACAUGUAAGGAACUUGCUCUUAGCUAUGAUUGCAAAUCCGUGUCUACUACUGACUCUCCUUAAUAUAAAUGCAUUUUUGAGAGUGUUUUAUCAUGUACCACAGAAGAAGACCAUUUAACAUGACAUUUGAACAAAAUAAGAUGGCUGAAACAAAGAUUUUUAGUGGAGUCACUUCAUCUGCAUUUACCCUCCAGCCAUCCGAAUGAUCUGCUUUUGAAUAUUGAAAGAACUGAUAAAUCCACAGGUUACCAAUCCAGUCUCUCCCUUCUAUAACAUAUCCUGAAAAAUGUCACCACAUUUAUUUUUUCUUGUACACUCCCUUACUCAGAAAAAUCACUACCUACUUAUUAUUUACUCUACCCAUUCUUUUUAAAUCUCCCUAAGGGAUUCUAAUGUGCUACUGGAGCCAAGAACCACCAUUUUGAAUAUUCUUCCAGGGCAGAGGUGCAGUAUACAUGAUAAGGAGAAAAUUGAGCCUUUUGAAGUGAUGUUUGCAGAUGUCUUAAAUAUAAGAAAAAUACAGCUUUUACUCUCUGAUUACAAGUGGAAAAAGAGCCUCCCAAUCAACCCUUGCUAGUUAUGGUUGGUUAGGCAUCCUGGGCCUUUUAUAUCUAGUUCUGGCAAACGCAACAGCAAUGUAGUCUUUUGCAGGUUCCUAAUGGUGUCCCUGUAGGCCACCAUCUCCAUUCUGUUUCUGGACAUCCCAACCUUGCCCCUUCUUAGGGGACAAGACCUCUGAGAGGCAGAUUUUCAAGAGUAAGGUUUUAUUGGCUUAUAAUCUUUCCCUUGCAGAAAGAUGACCAGGAAAAAGAGUUUUGUCAGUCACAGCUACUCACAGGCUCUUUCCCCCAGGGCAGAAUUAGGUAAAAUUUAUGUCACCUAGUCCAACUGUCAGAAUGUCUGUCCCAACAUGAAAUAGGGAAUCUUGAAAGAUAUGAAUGAUACUCCUGCGAGUAGCCAGAGACAGCUGGUACCCCUAACUCAUUUUAGGAGGAAUUGACGUCCAAGUUUUGCACAAGGCCUAGGGUGGGCUUUACCAGAGCACUUUAUGACUGUGCUUUUGAAAAUGUUUCCCUCUAGUCAUCAUUGUGAGGUAAUGUAUUAGGUAAUGUCUUGAAAAAUGGCCAGAGGGCUGAAGUGUCAGCUUUCAGCUCACAUACCUGAAAAUAACAUUGUUGGUUAUUAUUUUUAUACAACAAUAUAUUUGGAAUGCCUCAUAAACAGAAAUUAAUAGUGACAUCUCUGUCUCUGUAUUUAAACACUGCCCUAUCAACAAUAAUGGGAAGAAAAGCCUAGGUCACUAACAAUGCUUCAGAGAAAAGUGUCUCUCUCACUACAUUCAGGGUACAUUCCCAGUCCCUUUGGCCUCAGUCAUCAAAGCCAACUUGAGUUACCCAAGGUUCAGUAAAAACCAUAGAAAAUCCCCAAUCACAUUUAUUUUUGGAGCUAAAACUUUAGUUCCAAGGAUUCACACAAAACACAUCACCGUAACAGCAUAAAGCAAAAUCAUUUCAUAUAACUCAAAGUUCAGCUGUACAGUCUACCCUUAAACUGGCAGGACAUUGGUAUAUUGAAAUCUCAAAUUUCCACAUAAGAAUGUUACAAACAGCUGAGUGUGCAUAUGUAGCAAUCCUAUCAGGAACUUAUGAUCUAAGAAAAAGUCAACUUUCUUUCAAUUUAUCAGAUUUCAUACCAACAAGGCACCCUCUUCCCAGGAUGAAAACUGGUUGAAUUUUUAAGAUUUCUUGUUUAAUGGUGCAGCUCUUACACUUACCUGUUGGCCUGUAUUCACUUCAGCUUUUGAAGAUUGCUUGUUCAUCUAGAGUUGCAUACCACAGCCCAGCUGAGAAAAACGUCAAUCUUAGUUCUAUUUCUUCCAGUAUCAUUUCUAUCAUAUUCAAUAUCACAAUUAGCAGGGAAAAAUUUAAAGGUUUAUUUUUAAUCUUUGCAAGACUAAAGUGCAAAGAAAAUUCAGUAUUUCUUAAGAGAAUAUUGUAAAAUAACUAAUCACAUUUUAUAAGAGUGGCAGCCUCUUUUCCGUUUUGUCUUUUAUCAGAAUUUCCCAGAAGUAUAUAGAGAAAUGACUUGGUAUCUUCCACUCAGACUACAAAAAGUUAGCAAAGAAAUGAAUAGAUCACUUUGAAACAAUGUAUAUAUUUAAUUCAUUUAUUUUCUUUUGAACCAUAUAUGUGUGAUCCAACCCAGCUUUUUAAAUUUUAAGGUCUUAUCAAUAAAUGGAAAGACAACUUAAUAUCUGUACAGUGUAGCAAAAAAAAUCACAUGGAUUUGGAUAGGUCAUGAGCAUAAAUCACUCCAGCAAAGAACUUAAAAUGCAAAGUUAGCCACUUCUACAGAAUAAUGCCUUUUAGAUUUUAAAAACCAAAUAUUAUUAAUCAGUAAAGUACUAAUUAAGCAUAUACCAUGUAUAAAACAAUAUUCUAUCUAUUAAAAAAUGUCAGGUAAUAUCACUAUUAUCCCUGAUGCUAGGCAAUUGAGACCUAAGGACGUAAUACAUUCUCCUACACAAUUAAUUUCCUUGGACCCUCAAUAAAAUUGUGAUCAUUUUCCUAUAUGAGAUUGAUCAAAUUAUUCAUUUUCACAAAUGUUCUUCUGCUAAAUGUUAGAAACUAGAUGGUACUUUUUGUUUUAUCUCCAUUGCUUCAUAUAGGAGCUACUUCAUAUGAGGUUAUUAAUCUAAGUUUAUUGAACAAAACCAUUCAAAAAGUGUAUGUAUAAUGCAUACAUGUACGUAUAUAUGCAUGUAUACAUAUGUAUAAUAAAUACAUAGACACAUGAAGCUUUAUAUACAUAUAUAGUUUGAUAUGCACAUAUAAUUAAAAGGCAGUAAAUGACAAAUGUACUGUAAUCUCUCCCAUGCUGGUGUUAAGAAAGCAAGGACAUUCUCUAUUUGCUCUAUGUCAUAGUGUAAGUGGGUAACCUGCAAAAUAUAUGUGUGGAAAUGGUUCGAUGUACAUUUUAAGUGAUUUUCCAGCACAACAAUAUCCUUUAGUCCAUUUUUCCAGGUACACUUCAAGAAUUUUCCAAUGAAGCAGAUUUUAGCAUUCUUGUUUUUAGUGAGGUCCUCCUAUAAAGACUAAUGAAAAGAAAAUAACUUCCAUCUAAAUAUAUGUUACAUGGAAAUGUACAAUAAAUUAUGUGAUGUGAUAUAUAUUUUUACUACCUGAUUUACAUAUUCUGAGGUCCCAAGACUAUAAAAGUCUAUGUUCUCCCCCCCCCCACACACACCCCAGUAUGCUUGCAGACAAAUGUCCUUUAAAAGUUGCUCAUCAUGGGAAUGGAAUGUGCUCAAAGAUCAGCUGAAAGUUCUAGAAAUGUGAGGCUUUUGCAGCUGUGGCUCUGUGCUUAGUUUCUGCAGGAGAAUAUGGGCUCCCUUCUGGUCAUGCAGGAGUUCUGAUGGACUCACCAAGGAAUACAACAAUACUCUCGGCCCUGACAAAGCUCAUUCAGGCUUUAGUCAAACGGAUGCAGGUGUAAAGUCAUAAGAACAUCCUUAUUUAUAUAGCACAAUAUAAUCUGUUUCCCACUGCAAAUCUUUGAAGUAGGCAGAAAAGAUCAUUGCCUUCAGGCUAUAGAGAAGGAAAAAAAAAACUUUGGGGAUGUUUUGUGGCAUAUGAGUUUCCAUAGUAGGAAGGGAUUAAGUUGGAAAUAGGAUCUAGUAUGGGACUCCCUUAGGUCCUACUGCUGUCUGGCUGUGUGACCCUCUUCAAGUUCCUCAAGCACUCUGAGCUUGAGCAGCUUCAUCAAUAACAGAAGAAAAGACUCACAACUUUGUUCUGAGAGUGAAAUAACAUGUGAAAACAGUUUUAUUAGUAGAAUAGCAUUGUUCAGGAGUUGAUGUAGGCUUACUCUCUUAUUUCUCUCCAGACAGUAACUAUAGCUCCCCCAAAGCAUCCAGUUAUAAUAAGACUUAUACAUUGCCCCUUAUCUGCAAUUUCAAAACCCCCAGAACUCCAAAAUCCAGUUCUUCUAAACUUAUUUAAGCAGCAAAAUCUUAUGUGAACUAACAGACUUACUUGUUAUCCAUUUUUCCUUAUUUAGUAUGAUUAUUCAUUUGUUUUACAGCUGAUAUAUCAAUAUAAUUAUAGGGUUAUGAAUGACUGACUCAUACCCAUAGCAGCUAUUCCACAAUAAUUGCUAACAGAGUAGAUUAUACUCCUAGAACCCAAACAUCCUGUAUCCCAAUAAUUGCCUUGGAGAUUGGAUUUGUAAUGCGGAGUGGAAUCCUGCUGAUCCAGCUUAGAGAGCAGACUGCUUGAUGUGGGGAUGUGACAUUCUGGGUGAGGACUAUAUGGAUGACAGAGGUUCUGGGGUCAGUCAUAUUGGAUAGCCCUAUAGAUGUCCAAUGUUCCAGUCCUUAUUUCAUCUUCAACUACUGUGACCUUUUAAUGGCUAUUUUUGAAGUAGCAUGUCCAAGCAUUAGAAGAAGCCACAAUGGAAAAUGAAUGAGCAAAGGAAAAUGGAUGGUUGAUACAACCUGAGUCUGAAUCCCUGACCAGCUGUGUCCCUUGACAUGUUUAUCAAGUUUUUAAAAACUUCAGCUUCUCCUCCUUAUAGUGAGAAUGCAAAUGGUUUUGAGGGUGGUGGUAAGUUUUAAAUGGUACAGCACAUGGAGAAGUGCCGCAGUGACUCAUUCAUACUAUGUGUCCAGUAAAAGUUAGAUCCUUUCCCUGUUCGCUUGCUGGCAUUCCUGUGGUGUUUCCACAAACAGAAAUCUGUACCAUAAGGUUCUUUGUAAAGGUUGUCUUCAAAUAGCUGAUUUGUUGUUAUUGUGGCUGUCAAUUAAAAUAGCCAAGGAUUCUUAUUUAUUUUUUCUGAGUCACAGUCUAGGUCUGUGCCAUUUUAAAGUCCAGAAAGUUGAAUUAGUUUAAUUCCACUAUGAUUCUGCCAAGCUAUCUUUUUUUUUUGUAAGAAAACAAACUCUUUUAAUAAUGUAUGAGGUUUAUAAUACUGUGAAGUGUCUCACAGUUUGCAGGAAACAGACCAAAACACCCAAAAUGAUAAAGUGUGUUUAUUGUAGGUCAACUAAUUACAUUUCUUAAACCUGGAAUCUAUGAAAUUUGAUGGUGGGCUUUAGUCUGUGGGGACUUCCUGGGCACAUGUCACCCCUUGGCGGUGAUUCAUUCUGAUGUUCUAAAGGCUGGAAGCUCAUGACAAUAGCAUAUGAGCUUGGCAUGCAUAAUUCACUUAGAAUUUUAAAUGGAUCUUGAGUCAGAAAGUUCCCCCUGAAGUUAGAUUACCACAAGGCAUACAUUUACAAGGGGGAGAUUCCCUCCAGUGUUUAAGAUUCUCUCUUAAGCUGAGAGAACUGGACAACAGAGUCAUUUCUCAGACCAUCAGGAGGCUCACAGUGAGGGGCUGGACGUCACACUCAGCUUUAUCUCCUCAAAUAGAGGAAAAUGUACAAAAGGAGGCUUGUGUAUUCCCCCACUGAGGUCAGUGGGGAAGAGAAGGAUGAUACCAUUAAUGGCCAAUAGGAAGAUAGUCAUCACAGGAUGAAACCAAUAUCACCAGUGUGGCUCGAAGGAAAUCCAUGCCAGGCACCAAAACGUAACAUGUGAAUAGGAUAAUUUUUAUAAGAAAAUGCUAUAUGAAUGUAAAAGAGCUUUUAGAAGAACAAAUGCAUAAGCCAUAAAGGAAAAUAUGGCCAAAUUUACUACAUUAGAGUUUAAAUUAUGUAGAAGAAAAGGUAUAAAAAUAGCAUAAGGCUAGUUUUAUAAAAAUUGAGAAUUUAAGCUGGGUGUGGUGGUGCAUAUUUAAAUCCCAGUGGAUUGGGGGAUGAGGCAGGAGGAUUGCAAGUUUGAGACCAGCCUCAGCAACUUAGUGAGGCCCUAAGUAACUUAGUGGAACCAUGUCUCAAAAUAAAAAAAAAUAAUAAAGGAUUAAAGGACUGCGGACGUAGGUCAGUGAAAAAGAGCCCUUGGUUUCAAUCCCCCUUCCAAAAAAAGAAAGAGGGAAAGAAGAAAGAAAAUUAUGUAUUAAUUUAAUAUGUUUACAUUUUUUGCAUAUGUCCUGUAUGUGUGUGUGUGUGUGUGUGUGUGUAUGAGUGAGAAGACAAACAAUACACCUUCUUUGUAUUUUUUUUUCAGUAGCACUUUAAAAUAUGCUUGUAAAAAUAUUCAGAAUUUGCUGGAGUUACUUCUGAGAAUACGUAAGAGAAAUGAGGAAAGAGAGAAAACAGAGGGCCUCAACUAUAUCUGAAAUAUUUCAUUUCUUUAAAAUUUUAUUUCUUUGAAUAAUAAACAAGAAUGGCAGAUGUGUUUGUACUCAAAGGAUUUGCAUAGCAGAUACACAGGUGUUUGUUAUUUUAGUGCAUUCUUGUAUGUUUGAAAGAUUCUGUAAUACAUAUUUAAUGUAAAAAUACUAUUCACCUGAUAAUUCCCUUCGUGUCUAUGUGGGCAAUCAUAGGAAAGAAGGAAAAAAACAUCAGAGUCCUAGGGAUUUUUUUGCAUCAUCUACGAUAUGGAUCAAAGACUGAUUCUCUGUUACUUUAUUUAUUUUUCCUAAGUUUUACUUAAGAGGCAACAUGGGGAAAUCUUUACCACUGAUGGACUCCUGCUCUCUCUCUCUCUCUACAUUGGAGUAGCACAGACGAUUUCUGCCUCCCCACAGCUGUCUUCUACAGCUCUAUAAUGUAUGCUUUGUUUCACUUCCUGCCCCAAUCUAUACAUCCUGGAAGUCCAAAGGGCUUCCUCCUCUGAGUCCUGGGAUGGGCUGGGGCAUGGCAGUAUGGGCAACUGUCACUAAAACUUGGCUGCAGCUGCUGCUGCUCUGACACUGGAGAAUGUGCACUAUACCAGCAUGUGCCACUCUUCGAUGCUAAACAGCUCUUUUCAGUCUUUUAAUAGAUUCUUGGGGGAGGAGGAAGUGGAGGCUGAAGUUCACUUUAUUCAUCUGUGUGCCUGGCUCAGUCAGAUUGGCAUCUGGCACCAAGCCUACGGUUUUGUCAGAUGACAUUGUUUUCUGUUACCCCCACACGUACGCACAUUCAAAUGCACACACAGUACAAGCUCAAGCAUAUGUCUCUGUGUCUGCAAGUUACACUGCACUGGCCAAAAUCACAUUUAGCCACACACUGAGGUAUAAACUGAAAAUGCACAUUCUUUGACAUCUAUAAGCACGAACAGUGAGGUUCAGUUGUUUUGGUUGUUGUUGUUGUUUUAAGAUGACAACAGAAUGGAAGGAAUAGGUGAAACUUUUUUCAACUGAUUUCUGCUAUUGUUGGUGAAAAGAACAUGUGUAUCACAAUAAGGAUGGGUUUAUACAAUUCUCUCACACACAGAGGUAUUUGAAUCUUUUUAUGAGAACCUCAGUGGACAAGUAAUGGAACUAAAACACCCAAAUCUCCCCAUUUUUGAAUUUCUAAAGAUGCCUACCAUUUAUGAGGAAUCUUACCUCUUCUUCCAUCAUAAUGUGGAAGACUAAGUUCCCAGAACUCCUUAAGACCUGCCCUCUCACUCUCUGCAGUAUGUCCAGAAACUUCAGAAUUAUUGAAGCCAAAGCCAGGAAGCUAUGGCCUUAUGGGUCAAAUCCAGCCAGUUUGCUGUUUUUGUAAAUAAAACUUUAUUACCUAGUAUUGCCCAUUUCUUUACAUAUUGUCUUUUGUUGGUUUUACAUCACAAUGGCAACAUUGAGUACCACUGACAGAGGCCAUAUGGUUUGCAGAGCCCAAAAAACUUAUCAUCUGACCCUUUACCCCCCCCCCCCAAAAAAAAAAAAAAAAAAAUUCAGCCUACCCCUGGGUAACAGAAUCCUAUGGGCUGGAAGAAUGACUAGAUUACAUAUUAUGGCCAAGAGACAGCAGGUCAAAAAGAUGCUCACAUUCAGUUUAUGCCAGGCUUAUCCUUAUAGCAAGUGGGUAGAAAAAUUAGAUAUCCUGUUUAGCUAUUUUUUUAAAGUUUACAAAAAUCAAAGUAGUAUUCUCCAAAAAGUGGUCCUCUUACUGAUUAGAAAAUGAUGCCUGCUAUUAUCACUCUCCUCAACAGAACCAAUAAAAUAGUGCAGGACCUUAAUUUCUCUGUGACUCAUCCUCUUUGUUUAAGGUGUGACCACUCCCCAGACUUGUUAUCCCACACCCAAUGGCCAGGCACUCUGAAGACUAUGACAUUGGCAUGGCCCAGAGUGUCUGGGAGGCUGACAACACAUUGCUAAUUAUGUGUUCUUUAGACGGAAACACUAACAAGCUUCCCCAAGCUCUGGGUCAUAUGUCCAUCAUAAGUGACUGAAACUACAGUCCAUUUUGUCUUAGAAGGACCUCAGGCAGAAUUGAGUAGGGUGAGAAGACAAACAAUACACUUUCUUUGUAUUUAUAUAGCUCCAUGACUUCCAAAACCACUUGAGUGAUCCAAGUCAUAGGAAAAUGACAAUUUCAAAGAGAUCCUAACCUAAUUUAUUAUGCAUGCUUAUUGUAUACAAGACUUGUGCCUUCCUUAUUCAGUUUGUCUCAGCAUCUCAGAUACUGCAUUUACUCAAUGCCCUAUUUCUAGGAUGGCUUGUAUUAGUGAAAGACACUAUAUUGUCUCAGUGUCCUAUUUAUAGGUCAACCUAAUUUAAUUUUAAUAAUAAUAAAGCAUAUAUAAACCCUAGAUUAUGAUUUCCAACCCAUUUUAAUGUACUUCUGUCAAUUUCACUGAAAUAUUCACAGAAUUGAAAACUUGGGGCUUAAUGGGUUAAUGAUGUUGGUUGGCAGACUGACUGUACCAAUAUCAUAUGCACAAGAUGUAUUUGGCAAAGUUAACCAGCCCUGAAAAAAUUUGUUCUGGAUUAUUAUUAUUUUUCUUUUUAAAAUAUAUGUCUGUUUUGUGGUGAUGGACUGACUACAAGCCAGGAGACUGGAAGUUACAUGACUCAAGGCAAGUCAAUAAUCUCUUUGGAUUUAACUUCAGAAAAAGAGUUUGGACUACAUACCAAGAAAAUCAUAUUCCUAGUUUAAAAUGUGUUUUCACAAGUGUCAUUAUCCUAUGUUGCUACUAUGAUUUUAGAUGAGUCUUGAACCUCCAACAUAUUUAAACACCAUUCAAAAUGCCAGAAACAGCUUGGCAACCCUGGGAUCAUCUUGAAAUAGCUGGUUAAAGUUUGAUUCUUAUUUUCCUCUGUGCUCUUCUUUAUCAUCAUAAAGGUGUUGCACAAGCAACAGAGUGCUCUAAAGUUUGGCUUUUCUGUUUUCUGCUACUAACCUAUGCUCACUAUUUAACUUGUCCUCUUUUAAUACUCUUUGUAGGCUACCAGCCUUGGUUAGUUGUGCUAUUGGCCUGAUUGGAAGAAANUUCAGCUUCUCCUCCUUAUAGUGAGAAUGCAAAUGGUUUUGAGGGUGGUGGUAAGUUUUAAAUGGUACAGCACAUGGAGAAGUGCCGCAGUGACUCAUUCAUACUAUGUGUCCAGUAAAAGUUAGAUCCUUUCCCUGUUCGCUUGCUGGCAUUCCUGUGGUGUUUCCACAAACAGAAAUCUGUACCAUAAGGUUCUUUGUAAAGGUUGUCUUCAAAUAGCUGAUUUGUUGUUAUUGUGGCUGUCAAUUAAAAUAGCCAAGGAUUCUUAUUUAUUUUUUCUGAGUCACAGUCUAGGUCUGUGCCAUUUUAAAGUCCAGAAAGUUGAAUUAGUUUAAUUCCACUAUGAUUCUGCCAAGCUAUCUUUUUUUUUUGUAAGAAAACAAACUCUUUUAAUAAUGUAUGAGGUUUAUAAUACUGUGAAGUGUCUCACAGUUUGCAGGAAACAGACCAAAACACCCAAAAUGAUAAAGUGUGUUUAUUGUAGGUCAACUAAUUACAUUUCUUAAACCUGGAAUCUAUGAAAUUUGAUGGUGGGCUUUAGUCUGUGGGGACUUCCUGGGCACAUGUCACCCCUUGGCGGUGAUUCAUUCUGAUGUUCUAAAGGCUGGAAGCUCAUGACAAUAGCAUAUGAGCUUGGCAUGCAUAAUUCACUUAGAAUUUUAAAUGGAUCUUGAGUCAGAAAGUUCCCCCUGAAGUUAGAUUACCACAAGGCAUACAUUUACAAGGGGGAGAUUCCCUCCAGUGUUUAAGAUUCUCUCUUAAGCUGAGAGAACUGGACAACAGAGUCAUUUCUCAGACCAUCAGGAGGCUCACAGUGAGGGGCUGGACGUCACACUCAGCUUUAUCUCCUCAAAUAGAGGAAAAUGUACAAAAGGAGGCUUGUGUAUUCCCCCACUGAGGUCAGUGGGGAAGAGAAGGAUGAUACCAUUAAUGGCCAAUAGGAAGAUAGUCAUCACAGGAUGAAACCAAUAUCACCAGUGUGGCUCGAAGGAAAUCCAUGCCAGGCACCAAAACGUAACAUGUGAAUAGGAUAAUUUUUAUAAGAAAAUGCUAUAUGAAUGUAAAAGAGCUUUUAGAAGAACAAAUGCAUAAGCCAUAAAGGAAAAUAUGGCCAAAUUUACUACAUUAGAGUUUAAAUUAUGUAGAAGAAAAGGUAUAAAAAUAGCAUAAGGCUAGUUUUAUAAAAAUUGAGAAUUUAAGCUGGGUGUGGUGGUGCAUAUUUAAAUCCCAGUGGAUUGGGGGAUGAGGCAGGAGGAUUGCAAGUUUGAGACCAGCCUCAGCAACUUAGUGAGGCCCUAAGUAACUUAGUGGAACCAUGUCUCAAAAUAAAAAAAAAUAAUAAAGGAUUAAAGGACUGCGGACGUAGGUCAGUGAAAAAGAGCCCUUGGUUUCAAUCCCCCUUCCAAAAAAAGAAAGAGGGAAAGAAGAAAGAAAAUUAUGUAUUAAUUUAAUAUGUUUACAUUUUUUGCAUAUGUCCUAUAUGUGUGUGUGUGUGUGUGUGUGUGUAUGAGUGAGAAGACAAACAAUACACCUUCUUUGUAUUUUUUUUUCAGUAGCACUUUAAAAUAUGCUUGUAAAAAUAUUCAGAAUUUGCUGGAGUUACUUCUGAGAAUACGUAAGAGAAAUGAGGAAAGAGAGAAAACAGAGGGCCUCAACUAUAUCUGAAAUAUUUCAUUUCUUUAAAAUUUUAUUUCUUUGAAUAAUAAACAAGAAUGGCAGAUGUGUUUGUACUCAAAGGAUUUGCAUAGCAGAUACACAGGUGUUUGUUAUUUUAGUGCAUUCUUGUAUGUUUGAAAGAUUCUGUAAUACAUAUUUAAUGUAAAAAUACUAUUCACCUGAUAAUUCCCUUCGUGUCUAUGUGGGCAAUCAUAGGAAAGAAGGAAAAAAACAUCAGAGUCCUAGGGAUUUUUUUGCAUCAUCUACGAUAUGGAUCAAAGACUGAUUCUCUGUUACUUUAUUUAUUUUUCCUAAGUUUUACUUAAGAGGCAACAUGGGGAAAUCUUUACCACUGAUGGACUCCUGCUCUCUCUCUCUCUCUACAUUGGAGUAGCACAGACGAUUUCUGCCUCCCCACAGCUGUCUUCUACAGCUCUAUAAUGUAUGCUUUGUUUCACUUCCUGCCCCAAUCUAUACAUCCUGGAAGUCCAAAGGGCUUCCUCCUCUGAGUCCUGGGAUGGGCUGGGGCAUGGCAGUAUGGGCAACUGUCACUAAAACUUGGCUGCAGCUGCUGCUGCUCUGACACUGGAGAAUGUGCACUAUACCAGCAUGUGCCACUCUUCGAUGCUAAACAGCUCUUUUCAGUCUUUUAAUAGAUUCUUGGGGGAGGAGGAAGUGGAGGCUGAAGUUCACUUUAUUCAUCUGUGUGCCUGGCUCAGUCAGAUUGGCAUCUGGCACCAAGCCUACGGUUUUGUCAGAUGACAUUGUUUUCUGUUACCCCCACACGUACGCACAUUCAAAUGCACACACAGUACAAGCUCAAGCAUAUGUCUCUGUGUCUGCAAGUUACACUGCACUGGCCAAAAUCACAUUUAGCCACACACUGAGGUAUAAACUGAAAAUGCACAUUCUUUGACAUCUAUAAGCACGAACAGUGAGGUUCAGUUGUUUUGGUUGUUGUUGUUGUUUUAAGAUGACAACAGAAUGGAAGGAAUAGGUGAAACUUUUUUCAACUGAUUUCUGCUAUUGUUGGUGAAAAGAACAUGUGUAUCACAAUAAGGAUGGGUUUAUACAAUUCUCUCACACACAGAGGUAUUUGAAUCUUUUUAUGAGAACCUCAGUGGACAAGUAAUGGAACUAAAACACCCAAAUCUCCCCAUUUUUGAAUUUCUAAAGAUGCCUACCAUUUAUGAGGAAUCUUACCUCUUCUUCCAUCAUAAUGUGGAAGACUAAGUUCCCAGAACUCCUUAAGACCUGCCCUCUCACUCUCUGCAGUAUGUCCAGAAACUUCAGAAUUAUUGAAGCCAAAGCCAGGAAGCUAUGGCCUUAUGGGUCAAAUCCAGCCAGUUUGCUGUUUUUGUAAAUAAAACUUUAUUACCUAGUAUUGCCCAUUUCUUUACAUAUUGUCUUUUGUUGGUUUUACAUCACAAUGGCAACAUUGAGUACCACUGACAGAGGCCAUAUGGUUUGCAGAGCCCAAAAAACUUAUCAUCUGACCCUUUACCCCCCCCCCAAAAAAAAAAAAAAAAAAAUUCAGCCUACCCCUGGGUAACAGAAUCCUAUGGGCUGGAAGAAUGACUAGAUUACAUAUUAUGGCCAAGAGACAGCAGGUCAAAAAGAUGCUCACAUUCAGUUUAUGCCAGGCUUAUCCUUAUAGCAAGUGGGUAGAAAAAUUAGAUAUCCUGUUUAGCUAUUUUUUUAAAGUUUACAAAAAUCAAAGUAGUAUUCUCCAAAAAGUGGUCCUCUUACUGAUUAGAAAAUGAUGCCUGCUAUUAUCACUCUCCUCAACAGAACCAAUAAAAUAGUGCAGGACCUUAAUUUCUCUGUGACUCAUCCUCUUUGUUUAAGGUGUGACCACUCCCCAGACUUGUUAUCCCACACCCAAUGGCCAGGCACUCUGAAGACUAUGACAUUGGCAUGGCCCAGAGUGUCUGGGAGGCUGACAACACAUUGCUAAUUAUGUGUUCUUUAGACGGAAACACUAACAAGCUUCCCCAAGCUCUGGGUCAUAUGUCCAUCAUAAGUGACUGAAACUACAGUCCAUUUUGUCUUAGAAGGACCUCAGGCAGAAUUGAGUAGGGUGAGAAGACAAACAAUACACUUUCUUUGUAUUUAUAUAGCUCCAUGACUUCCAAAACCACUUGAGUGAUCCAAGUCAUAGGAAAAUGACAAUUUCAAAGAGAUCCUAACCUAAUUUAUUAUGCAUGCUUAUUGUAUACAAGACUUGUGCCUUCCUUAUUCAGUUUGUCUCAGCAUCUCAGAUACUGCAUUUACUCAAUGCCCUAUUUCUAGGAUGGCUUGUAUUAGUGAAAGACACUAUAUUGUCUCAGUGUCCUAUUUAUAGGUCAACCUAAUUUAAUUUUAAUAAUAAUAAAGCAUAUAUAAACCCUAGAUUAUGAUUUCCAACCCAUUUUAAUGUACUUCUGUCAAUUUCACUGAAAUAUUCACAGAAUUGAAAACUUGGGGCUUAAUGGGUUAAUGAUGUUGGUUGGCAGACUGACUGUACCAAUAUCAUAUGCACAAGAUGUAUUUGGCAAAGUUAACCAGCCCUGAAAAAAUUUGUUCUGGAUUAUUAUUAUUUUUCUUUUUAAAAUAUAUGUCUGUUUUGUGGUGAUGGACUGACUACAAGCCAGGAGACUGGAAGUUACAUGACUCAAGGCAAGUCAAUAAUCUCUUUGGAUUUAACUUCAGAAAAAGAGUUUGGACUACAUACCAAGAAAAUCAUAUUCCUAGUUUAAAAUGUGUUUUCACAAGUGUCAUUAUCCUAUGUUGCUACUAUGAUUUUAGAUGAGUCUUGAACCUCCAACAUAUUUAAACACCAUUCAAAAUGCCAGAAACAGCUUGGCAACCCUGGGAUCAUCUUGAAAUAGCUGGUUAAAGUUUGAUUCUUAUUUUCCUCUGUGCUCUUCUUUAUCAUCAUAAAGGUGUUGCACAAGCAACAGAGUGCUCUAAAGUUUGGCUUUUCUGUUUUCUGCUACUAACCUAUGCUCACUAUUUAACUUGUCCUCUUUUAAUACUCUUUGUAGGCUACCAGCCUUGGUUAGUUGUGCUAUUGGCCUGAUUGGAAGAAAGCUCAGAAACACUGGCAGAUGUUAUGAAAAUAUCUCAAGCCUCAGUGCUCUAGCAUUGCUGAACUAAAGCCUGAAUUUCAGGACUGUAAAAUGUCCUAUAAGAGGUUAGGCAUUUUCCUCCUCUUCCACUAGAAAUGCUCAGCUAAAUGGCUGUGAUGUGUUCCACCUGGCUGCUCUCUUUCCCAGGCUGCCAUGUUAUCCUGGUGGGGUCCUUGUGGUGCAAACCUCAGACUCUGGUUUUCAUUUUCAGAAUUCCUGUGCAGAGGGAAUCUGUUUCUGACAGUGUGGGCAUAGGGGUGCAGUAUUGUGGAUCACAGUGUGUAUUUUUUGGGUGAGCCUGUGGGAUGCCUAAAUUUGUACCACAUUAAAGUGGUUUAUGGUAUGUAGAGGGGUUCCUAGGCACUGCAUCUAGGCCUUGCCAAGUUGCCAAAUGUUUUCUCCAACCCCAAGUAUAUAGUCAGGCUUGGAUUUCCUCUCCUAAUAUUCUCAUUGGCUGCAUGGGUACUUCUGUGGAAGUGUGUACCUGACUGGUUGUACAGAAGUAUGGUUGGCAUAAAAAAUCUAUUGGAACAAUGAUUAAAGAAAGAUAUAAGAUUUACCUGCCCAGCAGCUGAAGGUUUUAUGUGAAAAGAAAACAAAAUCAAUUUCCAACUCAGUUUCUUUUCUAGUAACAUUCUGAUAGUCAAUCAAGCCAUCCAAUCUUAUAUACUUAGGGACUUUAAAGAUGAAUUCUGGUGUUUCAGAAGUAAGGUAUGGGGACCAAACAUCAGGAGAUGCUGAGGCCUAGAUAAAAGCAAAAAUUAAUCUGAAAAAAAAUUACUCAUAUAUCUCUUCUGAUGAGUUAGUUUAUUUUAUAUGCCCUAAUAAAAAUGUUGCACAUGAGUUAGAAAAUAAUAAGUUGAAGUGCACACGUAUAAGUUUUGAGGACAUUCUUGAGUUACCAAAAAGAAUGUAAGUAGCACAGAAAGAUAUUUCUGAGAACAGCACUUAAGUAAACACCACUGUAUUGGUUUUAUAAGCUUUCACUUAAGGAUGAUGGUUUCCUGAUUUGUUAGGACUCAAAUAACAUUCAUCUGUUUCAACUAAAGUUGCUGCCUUUCAUUUUCCUUAAUGUUUUCUGAUAUUGAGUUUCAUUCAUAUUUGUAUUUUAUUUGGAGAAAAAUUUCCACCAGUAAAAAACUGGAAAAGCUUCAGGUUAGGUUGUCCCUGAGCAUGCUUAUGGCCCUGGUCUUCAUGUCUGCAUGUGUUACUUGGAUCAUCUUCAGCUAUCUGAGCUGAUAUGAUAACAUGGAAAAGGAAUAAAUCAGAGAGAGAACAGAGUGACAUACACUACUCAUUUUCUACAUAAAUCCCAAUUCCACCCUAUUCCACCUUUCCUUGCUCACAGAAUCGUGACUUUGUUUUAAUGUUUGGAGUGGAUUCAGAGAUAGAGACCACCUUUGAUCAAAAGCAAAACUUGACCCAUCUAUGUUAAAUAAAGGAGUCUCAAUUGCUGGCCAGUCACUGUCUCAGGUGUAGAUAUAUGCUCUAACUCUGGGCAUUACAGAACUAGAAUCUACAAAGAGAAUCUGGAGAAGACUUUCUUUGACAGAGAAAGGAAUGCAAAUUCUACAUUAGGGGCAGCCAAGUGAAAUUACAAUGUGAAGAUCCUUGUUCAAAAAGAAGAUUGAAAAAAAAAAAACUUCUUUCUUCUUUUCAACCAUUUCUCCAUCUCAAUCUGGUUCUUAUUUGCUAUGUGGGACAACCUCUAUUCUGGAGCCACAUCCUAUAACUCAGCAUGCAGAGUACACCUUACUUUGACCCUGAUACUUCAUAUACCUACAAGCUGACCCCCUGUAAAGACACAGUGUGGCAGCAGCUGUUCAGAAGCUUGGGGAAUGAACAGUCUAGAACUUCAACCUGUAAGGAGAUUAGGCAGUACUGCCCAUGAGUUGAGGCUCCAAGCCCUUGGCAUGUGUUCAUCCAUCAUAUUUCACUUGCAAAACACAAACUUCAUGAUGCUGACCACAGAGUAUUAAUGCCCAAGCCUGGGGCCCUUCUCACUCUGGGGUCCAGUAGGAAUGUACUGCUGACAUGCCCAUCAAGCUGGCCUUGUGUUCACAUCUGCAUGUGUUAGUUGGACUGGAUUCAGUCAUCUCAAGACUAUAGGAGACACAUGUCCAAGUUAGAAAAGAAAGACAUAAAGCACCUGUGCCCUUGACAUUAUUAAGCUACUAAAUUAAUCAGCUCUGGAAACUGCCUAGACUCAAAAAUCUCAUUGUAUGAGGUAAUAGACCUCUCCUUUUAAUGGCCACUUUUUCUUGGGUGUUUUAUCAAUCACAACUAAAAGCAUUUCAGUUAGUAGGAAAGGUCACAUUGGUGAAAAUGUCUACAAAGGCAGGAAGGAUGAAGCUGGAGGAUUCUGGCUAAUUGCAAAUGUAUGGUGAGUCACCUAGAUGAUGCUCUUCCUGCUCUUUCCUGGCCACUCUGCUGGACAUGGGAGGGCCAGUAUGUUCUUUGGAACCAGAGAAUAGACAAUGCCCUCUCACUCCACCCCCUCACAUUCCUCCACUCAGUAAGCUUAACAAGUUCAAGUAGGGCAAAUGCAAGCAAACCACAACAUAGAACUCAAACACAACACCCACAUUGAUCUUUAGAUGUAUAAGAAUCAAUAUGGUAGAAAGAGGUCACUGUGAGCUUAAGGGAUGGCUUGAGGCAAAGUUAUAAAUUUGAUGAGGCUAGGCUUUGAAUAUAUUCCCCCAAAAUUCAUGUUUUGGAAAUUUAAUCCCUCAAUGCAACCAAGUUGAAAGGAUGGACCUUUAAGAGAUGAUUAGGUCAUGAGGGCUCUGCCCCCAUGAUUGGGUUAAGCCAUUACCACCAGACUAUGUUAAUUAUCUCAGGAGUGGACAAAUAAAAGCAUGAGUUCAUCCCCCUUCCCUACAUCCCCCCUCUCUCUCUUUUCCUCUUUCUCCUGUGAUGCCUUCAAUUAUGUUGUGACUCAGCAAGAAGGCCCUCAUCAGAUGCAGUUCCUCAAUCUUGGGUUUUCCUUUCCCCAGAACUGUGAGCAAAUAAACCUCUAUUGUCUAUAAAUUUCUCAGUAUGUGGUAUUUUGUUAGAGUAGCAUGAAUUGACUAAGACAAGUGAGGUUUGUUCGGGGCUCAUGUACUUCCCUUAUAAUGUACAGUGUUUUAACCUGCAGAAAUUAUCUGCUAAGCAAAUAUCUUGGGUUUUGUUCUUGGUCAUUCCUGAUUAUGGAGAUCACUAAACUUGACAGUAUCAUUUACAUGAAGAGUUGGCUGACCAGUCCCUUAAUUUCCUUCAAGGGUUUGAGAUUUUUCUAAUUAUUCACUGCCCAAUUCCUGUCCCUCUUACUGGGUCAAUGGACCUAUGGGAUCUCAAGUUCUAAAUCCAUAAAACUCUACCUUGAAUUUUGGAGUUAGAAAAAAAAUAACACCCUCUGGGGAAAAGAGCUUCAGGGAAAUCUAGUAAGAGAAAAGGGUCUUGCAGGGUAUGGGUGGGAUGACAAAUCUGGGAAAAGGCCAUUCUACCGAAGACAUCAGCAGGGGCACUCUGGGGUAUCCACCUUCACCUAAGAACUGGGAUGUAGCCCUGAGGAGCAAUUUCUUUCCCUUUCUCACAAAUGGUUAGGCACUAAGCACACUUCCUGAACAUUUCUAGAAAUAAGCAUAGGAGUCUAUAAAUGAUGAGCCACUCUUCUGCUUAUAGAAUUUGCAUCAGAUUAAAUAUUAACUACCACCACCCCCAAUUAGUCAUCCAGGAUCUCAGAAUGUGACCUAUUUAGAAAUAAGUAUAAUUAAUUAAGAUGAAUGAGGUCUUACUAGAACUCAAGUGACCCUAAAUUCAAAUGUCCUUUAUGAAAACACACAGAAACUAUAACCAAUUUGAGACAAAGUCAGAGGCUAGCAUCACACUGCCACAAGCCGAGUCAUGCCAAGAGCCACCAGCAGCUGGAAAUGCCAAGAGUUUCUGUCCUAGAAGCUUCACAAAGAGAGUGGCUUUACCAACACCUUGAUUUGGGGUUUCUGACCUCCAGAACUACAAGAGAAUAAUUUAUGUUGGUUUAAGCCACCUAGUUUGUGGUAAUUUGUUGUGGCCAUUCUAGGAAUAACACACAGGUGAAUUACAGAAGUUAUUGUUAUUAUACCACCAUGGAAUAAUAGGGCUUGAAGCUGAUCACGACUGGGCCCUAAAUUCCAUUAAGAGACAAUGGAGGAGGAACUUCUUCAACAGAACGUCCACCACUGCAGCUCCAAGGAACUUUCUUUGUAGUGUGAGCCCAUGAGGUAAGAAGAGUUGGAUGGGAUGCUGUGUGCAUGCCCAUGCAUGCUCUGCUUUCUCCCAUUCCUACCUCUUCAUCUCAACCCUCUGCCAAACAUAAUUUGAUGGAUCCCAAGGUCUUCCUGUUUGAACCAGUUUUUUUUCAGUGAUAUCUGACAAGAAGGCCGAAGCUGUUGAAGUUUCCUCCUUGCUAGAUUAGCAGCACAUGGGUGAGCCAAACUCAUACAUUAUUCAGAGGGGAAAAAUGUGGGCUCUGACUGAACUUAGAAGGAAUCAGCAGCUCUUCCAGAGGAGAGUGCCCUAUUGUUCUGCCUCACAGAACACAAAGAGCAAGUGGCAUUCCUUACGGCAUAGCUAAUGGGGUGCACGCAGACGCUGGGAUGAACUGGCCAGCAGACAUCUUUCAUGAGCUCUGAGAGCCUGUGCAAAGUGACUUACUCCUAAUGACAUGAAGGAUGUUCAAUUUUUUUCUAUUUAUGUAAGGUUCCAACUCAGUGAUACUUAGGGCAGAAAUUUCUGUAAAAUAAAAUGAUGCCAUCAGCUGGGCACCGUGGCUCAGGUCAGUAAUCCCAUCAGCUUGGGAGGGCUGAGGCAGAAGGAUGGCGAGUUCAAAGCCAGCCUCAGCAAAAGUGAGGAGCUAAGCAACUCAGUGAGACUCUGUCUCUAAAUAAAAUACAAAUAGGGCUGGGGAUGUGGCUCAGUGGUCAAGAGCCCCUGAGUUCAAUCCCCAGUACCCGAUCCCUUCAAAAAAAAAUGGUGCCACCUACAAGCAUAUAUUUAUGAAUGCUAUCAAGGGCCCCUUGAAAGAGGCCACCAGAAAGACAAGGUUGACCUUUCUACCAUUGUUGCAGGUGCUUCUCUGAAACAUGGAUGGUGUUUCCUGUACCAUAGAACAAGAAAAGAAAUUGUUGUGAAAUUCAAUUUUUUUUAAAAUAAGAUUCAUAUCACAAGUGUUUCCUGGAGACGAGAAAAGUAUUUUCCAAAAAUAGGAAAAGUAAACCCUGACCAAAAGAGUUAAGUAAAGGUUCAAAGGGCCUUCAGCUCAGAGCAUAUGCAAAGGUUCUGAAUUAAUUCCUAGUAAAGGCUCUAUAAGAAACAAAAAUUUUUAUAAAAGUGAAAUGCUGCUACUACAAUCUUCCUGAAGUCUCUUCAGUCCUACUUUAUCAUCCAGGCUAUCUGAGUAAAUCUUGGUGUGACAUACCUCAUUUAAAAUUUGCCUGUAACUGCCUACAACUCUUGUUCACAGAGCAUCACAGGCAUUUUUUCUGAUUGUUGUUGUUGUUGUUGUUAUUAUUAUUAUUUUAGCUAAAUAGCCAAACAAAAAAUAAACACAGGUAGACAGAUCCACUGGCAGAGAAGAAAACAAACAAAUACAGAAAAAAAAUUGUUGGAAAGCAGAGAAGAUAGAUGGACCUAAUAAUGAGUUCUGGAUCCAGAACUUUUCUCCAAGAUGGGAGAUGCUGGAGCUCUGAUGUGGAACCAAGAAGAUCAAGGGAGGGGAACUCUUAAAUAGGGGAUUUAUCAGGAAUGGGCCUUCACUAGCACUGGGCCAUCACUGAUGCCAAAGCUUGCUAGAUCAUGACAUGACAGUGUUUUCAAUUAAUAGUCUUUAGGUUUCACAGUAGAAUUAUUUUCCCAAUUCUGUCACAUACUGCUUCCUAGGAUAGCUUAAUGAUUACACUGGAAUUUUUGAUAACCAAAAACUUUGGCAACCAGUUUUAUCAUGGUACCAGAAUUUACAAAGUUGGAUGGAGGGAAGGAAGGCAAAAGCAGAUGGAUAGAUCACAAGGUGAGCAGUAUAUAUAUGGUUAUUAUUUGAUUUAAUGCAAUAGUAUACAAAAUAUAAGUUGAGGUACAUUAGAAGCUUUGCCAAAACAACAUCAUAGCAAAACUGUUUUGUUUUGUUUUUUUUUUUUCCAGUUUUUCAGAUACUUGUACCUUAUACUCUUCAGGGAUUUGAAUCAAUUUACAUUAUUGGAGAAAAUACCAAUGACCAAUAAAGGAAGCAAGUAACAACAUGGAAAAAUUGCUCUUUGAAUAUUUGUAAAACUCGGUUCUCUGAAUGUGAUCUUUAAAAACUGAGGUUAGAAAUAUACCAUGAUAGAAAUAGGUCAAUUAGUAUUGAAAGACAUCUAAUAUUGCCUGCUAUUUGGAAGUUAACAACCUUGCGUUCAAUCCUACUGCCCAGGAUAGGAUACUUUUCAGCAACAACAAAAAGUAUUCUUUUAGUUAAUAUUAUUCAGUUCGGUAACUUGAUAGAUUGUAUUGUGAUCAAACUGAUAAUUUACUAAUCAGCAGUGUUUAUGGAUUAGAAAAUACAUUAUAUUUCAAUUUAUUCAAUUUUAUAUAAAUACAACCAGAAGCAGAGAACUUGCCUGUAAAUAUGGUUCUUACCCAGUAAGAAUUUUCAAAAUUCUGUUAAAAUGAAUUUGAUGUAAACAAGUUUUAUUAAACCUCAUGUUUCUUCUUUUCCUCAUGCCAUUCAUUUAGCAAUUAAUUAUAAUCAACAUUCAUAAUUAGCCUUGCUUUAGUCUUAUUUUUCCAACUGGGUUAUAAACAUAAAAUUACAGACUCUUAGAUUAGAAAGGACUUUUUUUUUUUUCCUCUCCCUCCUGACCUUCCUUUCCUCCUCCUUCUUUUUUCCAGUACUGAGGACUGAACUCAAGGGCACUGCACCACUGAGCUACAUCCCCAGCCCUUUUUAUCUUUUAUUUUGACACAAUGCCUUGCUAAGUUGCCCAGACGGGCCUUCAAAUUGCAGUCCUCCUUCAUCAGAUUCCCAAGUACCUAGGGUUACAAGUGUGUGUCACUGUGCCCAGCAAAAGGACUCCAAGUCAUUCUUCUAAUACCUGUCCUCAAUAUAAGGAAUAAUUUAUAUCUGGUUUUAACAGUUGCUUGGAAACCUGAAACAAUUGCCAUCUUUUGAAGGUAAAAUAUNAUUUUUUCUGAUUGUUGUUGUUGUUGUUGUUAUUAUUAUUAUUUUAGCUAAAUAGCCAAACAAAAAAUAAACACAGGUAGACAGAUCCACUGGCAGAGAAGAAAACAAACAAAUACAGAAAAAAAAUUGUUGGAAAGCAGAGAAGAUAGAUGGACCUAAUAAUGAGUUCUGGAUCCAGAACUUUUCUCCAAGAUGGGAGAUGCUGGAGCUCUGAUGUGGAACCAAGAAGAUCAAGGGAGGGGAACUCUUAAAUAGGGGAUUUAUCAGGAAUGGGCCUUCACUAGCACUGGGCCAUCACUGAUGCCAAAGCUUGCUAGAUCAUGACAUGACAGUGUUUUCAAUUAAUAGUCAGUCUUUAGGUUUCACAGUAGAAUUAUUUUCCCAAUUCUGUCACAUACUGCUUCCUAGGAUAGCUUAAUGAUUACACUGGAAUUUUUGAUAACCAAAAACUUUGGCAACCAGUUUUAUCAUGGUACCAGAAUUUACAAAGUUGGAUGGAGGGAAGGAAGGCAAAAGCAGAUGGAUAGAUCACAAGGUGAGCAGUAUAUAUAUGGUUAUUAUUUGAUUUAAUGCAAUAGUAUACAAAAUAUAAGUUGAGGUACAUUAGAAGCUUUGCCAAAACAACAUCAUAGCAAAACUGUUUUGUUUUGUUGUUUUUUUUUUUUUCCAGUUUUUCAGAUACUUGUACCUUAUACUCUUCAGGGAUUUGAAUCAAUUUACAUUAUUGGAGAAAAUACCAAUGACCAAUAAAGGAAGCAAGUAACAACAUGGAAAAAUUGCUCUUUGAAUAUUUGUAAAACUCGGUUCUCUGAAUGUGAUCUUUAAAAACUGAGGUUAGAAAUAUACCAUGAUAGAAAUAGGUCAAUUAGUAUUGAAAGACAUCUAAUAUUGCCUGCUAUUUGGAAGUUAACAACCUUGCGUUCAAUCCAACUGCCCAGGAUAGGAUACUUUUCAGCAACAACAAAAAGUAUUCUUUUAGUUAAUAUUAUUCAGUUCGGUAACUUGAUAGAUUGUAUUGUGAUCAAACUGAUAAUUUACUAAUCAGCAGUGUUUAUGGAUUAGAAAAUACAUUAUAUUUCAAUUUAUUCAAUUUUAUAUAAAUACAACCAGAAGCAGAGAACUUGCCUGUAAAUAUGGUUCUUACCCAGUAAGAAUUUUCAAAAUUCUGUUAAAAUGAAUUUGAUGUAAACAAGUUUUAUUAAACCUCAUGUUUCUUCUUUUCCUCAUGCCAUUCAUUUAGCAAUUAAUUAUAAUCAACAUUCAUAAUUAGCCUUGCUUUAGUCUUAUUUUUCCAACUGGGUUAUAAACAUAAAAUUACAGACUCUUAGAUUAGAAAGGACUUUUUUUUUUUCCUCUCCCUCCUGACCUUCCUUUCCUCCUCCUUCUUUUUUCCAGUACUGAGGACUGAACUCAAGGGCACUGCACCACUGAGCUACAUCCCCAGCCCUUUUUAUCUUUUAUUUUGACACAAUGCCUUGCUAAGUUGCCCAGACGGGCCUUCAAAUUGCAGUCCUCCUUCAUCAGAUUCCCAAGUACCUAGGGUUACAAGUGUGUGUCACUGUGCCCAGCAAAAGGACUCCAAGUCAUUCUUCUAAUACCUGUCCUCAAUAUAAGGAAUAAUUUAUAUUUGGUUUUAACAGUUGCUUGGAAACCUGAAACAAUUGCCAUCUUUUGAAGGUAAAAUAUUUCAUUAUUAUUCCAAAAGCAAAUAAUAUUUUUUUAACUAAUCAAAAUAUCCACCAGAUUUUCCAAUAUCCCCCAGUGGCUGUGCACACUGUAUUGUGGUGAAUCAGUACACUCUUCUCCAGCUGGGUACAGCUAAGCAGAAGCAGGUCUCCUUGUUAUUUACUGGGAUACCACCUUGAAUUACCAGGCAAUGCAGAUUUUUAUCUUUAAAAUGUUACCUACAACACAGAGAGUAAUCCAAUAUUUGAGAAAUAUGAAGCUGAAUAUAAAAUUUUCCCUAUUUCAUUUUGAAUCACAUGAUUGAAUUCAAUGUGAAAUAAAAGAUCUGUUGAGACUCUGUUUUAUUUUUAAAAUAGCUAAUUAAGAUGAUAAAUAAUACAUCUGUCAGUGAAAUUGUCUUAUAUUUUGGGUUUCUUUCUUUCUUUCUUUUUUUAAAUUUUUAAAUUUAUUCUUUUUAAAUUUAUUCUUUUUAGUUAUAUACAACACCAGGAUAUACCCUGACACUAACACAAAUGUAUGGAAUUCACUUUGCUCCAAUUUGAAUUUCUUGUAGCACAGAAAUUCUCCAUAUAAUGCAUCUACUUGCCAAUUAUAUUCUUGUAAUACUUAAAUAUGUAUAUAAGCAAAUUAUUAAGUAGGCAAUUUCUGGUCAGUAAUACAUUUUAAAUAUCUGGGAAGAGGAACAUAGAAUAAAUUUUAAAAAUGAAAUUAGCAUAUAUUUAUUUGCCCCAUGUUACCAAUGUGCUCAACAAAUAACCUAAGAAGAAGGAGAAAAAAAAGUGGAAAAAGAGGAGGAGGAGGAGGAGGAGGAGGAGGAGGAGGAGGAAAGAAAAGGGAAGAAGGUGAGGAGAAAGAGGGGGAGGGAGAAAACAAAAAGAAUUACCUUGUUUAUAUUCACAUUUUGCUGGCAAAUAUUUCUAAACAGAAUAAAUUGAUCUUCCAUAAUUAAAUCUUCUUGAUUACAAAGAUAGGAAACUGAUUGUUAAAGGAAGAAAAAUAACAGCAACUGUAUUGAUAGUCAAAUCUGAUUUUAAAAAACUACCAUUAUCUUGUAAUAAGUAUUGCUGGUGUUUCAUAUUUUAGAAAUAUAAUUCAACUCCUGUAUUACUUAUAAAAAGUUAAUAAAAAUUAUCUAUAAACUUACUUACACAUACAUAUAAUCCUUUUAGGACCAUCAGAAUUUACCUUUCAGCAUUAGGAAUUCCAUCAUCCCAUUAAGGGGGAGUCUUAUAAUAAGCUUAUUAUAUAGAGUAUAUCUUGGAGACUAGUAACAUUUGGGUCAACUACAUGAAUCGUUUCAAUUCACCAGAUUCUCCUUAAUAAAAAUCUUUAGCAUUUCUUAAGCAUAAAUUGUAUUUGCAAUUCAAUCAUUCAUUAAUUUUCACAUAAAUUUUUUUCAUGCAUUUUAUUAAAUUCCUAUCAUGUUCCAAGUUCUCUAUUACUGAUAACUAGGAAUUUAGGCAAGAUUAAAACAGAUUCAGAGUCCUUCUUAUGAAUAUUUUUAUUAGGAAAUAUGUUUCCCAAAUUAACCAACUAUCUUCAAGCCUCUUCUUUAAAGUCAUGUUGAAAUUCUAAAGCUGAAAUGCAUUUUAUUGUUUCUAAACUAAGAAACAGUCAUUAUCAGAAUUCUAUAUACCACUUAUUUUUAAGAACACAUUGGACUUUCUAAGUUUUAUUAUGCUUUUAAGUUAACUACUUUAGAUAGUCACAAAUAAAGUAAUGGUCAAGUGUUUAAUCGCUAUAGUUCAUGAAUUCACACCUAUUCUGUACCACUUAGUAGCUCUCUGAUUUUGAUUCCUGACCAAAGUACUCUAUCAUAUUUUAUCUGUGAAAGAGAAAUGAUAAUGGUAUGUAUUUAGCAGGAUUGUGGGGAUGAUUAAAUACUUCAAUAGAUGUAGAAUAGUUCCUGAAACAUGCUAAGUUCAUAGAAGUAUUUUUCUUUUAUUUUCUGCAGGUUAGUUCAUGGAAUGAAUGACUUCAAUAAAGUAAACACACACAAGAUGCAAAUGAGAACUACUGGCCUUGGUUCAAGAUGACCUGAGUUUGAAUCUUAGUACUGCCACAGAAGGGUUCUGGCAAGCUGGUCAACAAAGCUUACAAUGCAAAGAUCCGUCUCAAGUGCCCAUUAUUUUCUCCUUGCAGAUCCUCACUUGGUUUUUGCUAUUCUCAUAACAAAUGUAGGAAUUGUACUACAUGGUUUCUAAUACUCUAUACACCUCUAAAAGUCUGCAAAACUGUGAUUUGAUCCUGAUGGGUCCAUAAUUCCAGACUUGGCAUAGUUUUUGUCUAUGAACCACUUGGUUAGAAAGGCAUUUUUUUCAAAUGGUACCAGAGCAGUAGACAUCACUGCUUUCCCCAUUAUAUUGAAGGAGACUCUUCUGCAUAGUUUCUUCUACAAAUUAAAACAAGUCAGUAAAAGGCUUUCUUGUUGGUGAAACGAAUUUUGGCUUUUAGUCACCCAUUCCAAAGGAUUCAAAAUCAUGGACUUGGAACUAUUUUGAAUAAGGAAUAAAAUGAAACUGUUCUGGUUUAUUAAAUAAAAUGACUGUGGAAUAUGCAUAGCAUUUUUUAAAAGUUUUUA